rnacentral:rRNA from 1 species
GAUGAACGCUAGCGGCAAGCUUAAUACAUGCAAGUCGAGGGGCAGCAUGACUGUAGCAAUACAGUUGAUGGCGACUGGCAAACGGGUGCGGAACACGUACAGAACCUUCCUUCGAGCGGGGAAUAGCCCAGAGAAAUUUGGAUUAAUACCCCAUAGUAUAUCAGAGUGGCAUCACUUUGAUAUUAAAGAUUUAUCACUUGAAGAUGGCUGUGCGGCUGAUUAGAUAGUUGGUGAGGUAACGGCUCACCAAGUCUGCGAUCAGUAACUGGUGUGAGAGCACGACCAGUCACACGGGCACUGAGACACGGGCCCGACUCCUACGGGAGGCAGCAGUAAGGAAUAUUGGUCAAUGGACGAAAGUCUGAACCAGCUAUGCCGCGUGGAGGAUGAAGGCCCUCUGGGUUGUAAACUUCUUUUAUAUGGGACGAAAAAGGGCCUUUCUAGGUCAACUGACGGUACCAUGUGAAUAAGCACCGGCUAACUCCGUGCCAGCAGCCGCCGUAAAAC